UACGGGGGGAGCAAGCGUUGUUCGGAUUUACUGGGCGUAAAGGGCGCGUAGGCGGUCAGCACAAGUCAGUUGUGAAAUCUCCGGGCUUAACUCGGAAAGGUCAACUGAUACUGUGCGACUAGAGUGCAGGAGGGGCAACUGGAAUUCUCGGUGUAGCGGUGAAAUGCGUAGAUAUCGAGAGGAACACCUGCGGCGAAGGCGGGUUGCUGGGCUGACACUGACGCUGAUGCGCGAAAGCCAGGGGAGCGAACGGG
rnacentral:rRNA from 1 species